GUUGUUGCGAUAGUAAUCCUGCUUAGUACGAGAGGAACCGCAGGUUCAGACAUUUGGUUCAUGUGCUUGGCCGAUCGGCCAAUGGUGCGAAGCUACCAUCUGAGGGAUUAUGACUGAACGCCUCUAAGUCAGAAUCCCGCCUAGUCAAGGCAACGAU
rnacentral:ncRNA from 1 species